AGUGAACGCUGGCGGUAGGCCUAACACAUGCAAGUCGAACGGCAGCACAGUAAGAGCUUGCUCUUACGGGUGGCGAGUGGCGGACGGGUGAGGAAUACAUCGGAAUCUACUUUUUCGUGGGGGAUAACGUAGGGAAACUUACGCUAAUACCGCAUACGACCUACGGGUGAAAGCAGGGGAUCUUCGGACCUUGCGCGAUUGAAUGAGCCGAUGUCGGGUUAGCUAGUUGGCGGGGGAAAGGCCCACCAAGGCGACGAUCCGUAGCUGGUCUGAGAGGAUGAUCAGCCACACUGGAACUGAGACACGGUCCAGACUCCUACGGGAGGCAGCAGUGGGGAAUAUUGGACAAUGGGCGCAAGCCUGAUCCAGCCAUACCGCGUGGGUGAAGAAGGCCUUCGGGUUGUAAAGCCCUUUUGUUGGGAAAGAAAAGCAGCAGGUUAAUACCCCGCUGUUCUGACGGUACCCAAAGAAUAAGCACCGGCUAACUUCGUG
rnacentral:rRNA from 1 species